rnacentral:lncRNA from 1 species
GCCAGGGAACCAGAGAUCAGCCAGGUAGCCCAACGCCUUUUGUAAUUAUGCAAACUAGACAAUCACCAAUGGUUCACUCCAUCUGCCUUACCUUUCCUUCGGAAACCUCAAUAAAGGCAGUGGCCUAACUCUUCCCCUAGCUCCUGUCUUCUGCCUCCUGACUACCACGGUGUCUUUCCCAUGUGAACUCAGGUGGCAUUUUGUGCCUCUAGGACCUAUAAGUUAAGCCUUGUCAUUGAUGCCAAAUCUAUGAGCCAACUCAUACAUAGAUUCUGAGAAGUCAGGUUGAAAGCCCUCCUGAGAGGAAAAACUAAACUUGAUUCCAACAAUAAGUACCAAUGUGAGUGGAAUAUAAUGGAAAGAUGUUGUAAAAGCAGCAUAAAGUGUCAUUUGCAAGAGAAGAGCAUGUAACACCACAGGCAAAAGAGAGAGACAAUAGAACAGGAACCAGCUUUCCUGUGGGAUAUGAAGAAAGUACAAAGUGAAAUGAGAAUGAAUACUCUAGUGAGCACUGUGGAGGUUAUACAAGGAUAGAAUGAAACUUUGAGGAGGUCCAAUCAGAAAGCUAUUAUAAUAAUCCAG